CCCCCUAGUGUCGUGCGCGUACUUUAGAAGUCAAGCACGAUUGUCGAAGACCUGGAAGAGCUGAGAAUGCACCCGAGUAGAGCUGAAAGGCCGGUGCUGAGGAGUAACCCAAGAGAGAGUUGCCAUUUAAGGCUCGUCCCCUGUCGAUUAGGCAUACAUGAUUCCCUGCACUCGUUAGAUAAGAACUUGACAAUCUUUGUAAGAAUAGUAAAGACAAAGUAUUUCAGCGCUGCAAAUGAACCAAGAUAAAAGAGAGUAAUUUUUCCUUUGGAUUAUUUGGAUGUCAUCAACGAUGACUAAUUUAAGGCUCAAAUGUCCGCAGAGCGGCUGAGUUGCCACUUAAGGCUUUAUCCCCAGUCUAACUUUCGCGGCUUACGCUAUUUCUGCGCGGAGCAUAGACAUUGAGGCCUUCGUCGUGCAAUUAAUGCCUUGAAUUGUGCAAUUAAUGCCCUCGUCGUGCAAUUAAUGCCUUGAAUUUUGCAAUUAAUGCCUUGAGUUGUGCAAUUAAUGCCCCGUUUUGCAAUUAAUGCCUUGAAUUUUGCAAUUAAUGCCUUGAGUUUUGCAAUUAAUGCCUUGAAUUUUUGCAAUUAAUGCCCUUGAGUUUUACAAUUAAUGCCCCUGUCUAACUUUCUCGGCUUACGAUAUUUUUGCGCGGAGCAUAGACAAUCAAAGAACCCUGUCUAACUUUCACGGCUUACAAUAUGUUUGCGCGGAGCAUAGACACUGUGAACUGACAAUCGACUCGGACAUUCUGCGCCGACCGAGAUAACUGAGAUAACUGUUUUCCCUGUACUUGAAAUAGCUGCUCUGACUGCGCUGAGAUAGUCACACUGGUUGCACUGAUACAAUCGCACUGACUGCGCUGGGGUAGCCAUACUGGCUGUGCUGAGAUGACUAAACUAGUUAUGCUGAUAAUUUGAGCGCUGAUUGUACUAAGAUAACUAAGAUAGUUCCGCCAGCCAAGACAACUGAAAUGACUGAGACGGCUGCGCAGGCUGAAAUAACUGAAAAAACUAAGAUAGCUGCGCAGGCUGAGAUAGCCUGUCUUGACUGCGCUGAGACAAUUUAUGCAAUCUGCGUUUGUAGCUACGCAGGCUGAGAUAGCUCGUCCUGACUGCGUUGAGGAAGCUCAGAUACAUUCUGAGGCUUACAGUUCUAGAUCGUAGCUAAGUUACCAUUUAAGGCUUUAAUAUCUGCUACGCGGCUGAGUUGCCGUUAAGGCUCAAAUAUCCUGCUAAGUUUUUUGAGAAAACACACAUGGUGGUAUAUACUCCACUCUCCCCCUUNCGUCUGCGCUGCCAAGUUCGUUCUUCGUCUACGCUGCCAAGUCCGUUCUUCGUCUACGCUGCCAAGUCCGUUUCUUUGUCUACGCUGUCAAGUCCUGGCUGCGCAGCUCUGCUCUGGCCACGCAGCUUUGCUGCACUGCUCUGGUCGGCGCUGCUCUAGCUGCGCAGCUCUGCACUUUGGCCAAGGCUGAUUGACUCUUCGUAUUCAUUUGUUAGCAAGUCUUUUUAAUUAGACCUGCGCUCGUUAGUUCCUUUGAUAAUAAUAACAAUAAUCAGGUAAAGUAGACUUAAACUACUAAGCACAGCGCUGAUGAGUAUUCCAGUCCUCAUCAGCUACUCCCCCCUAGUCUGGUUGAACUGUGUCUUCUUUGUUCAACCAGUGAUGCGUGAUAUAGAGUCGGCGCUGUGCUGCUCACCCGAGUAGGGUCCAAGUGUUUUUUAGCCCUGCAGCCCUGUAACUUAUCCCGAAUCGAGUACUUGUAAGCUUGCAAAAUAAUCAAUGAUAGAAUAGUACAUCCCUGCCAAUUUGUCAACACAAAAAUAUCCCAACUCUGUCAAAAUAUUUAGAAUAACAACAAGAAUAAUAAGAGUGAAGCAAUUCCCUUUCGAAUGUGCUCGUUGAGCCCUUUUUUUAUUGUUACAGCUUGCAACUAAGGCAGCUCUGGGAGCUCGCGACUUAGGCGGCUCUAAGACUUGAAUUUUUUGCAAUUAAUGCCCCUAUUCCUUAGGUUUUGAAUUUUUUAUCCCUAAAAAAUAGGAUAUAAGAGGUGACGGGGGUAUACACCCCCUUCUCCCCCCUAGUGCCGUGCGCGUACUUUAGAAGUCAAGCACGAUUGUCGAAGACCUGGAAGAGCUGAGAAUGCACCCGAGUAGAGCUGAAAGGCCGGUGCCGAGGAGUAACCCAAGAGAGCGGUUGAGUUGCCAUUUAAGGCUCGUCCCCUGUCGAUUAGGCAUACAUGAUUCCCUGCACUCGUUAGAUAAGAACUUGACAAUC
rnacentral:lncRNA from 1 species